rnacentral:lncRNA from 1 species
UCUCACAUUGUACAUCUAAACCUCUGUUCUUUAGCAGUCACAUUCACCGUCCACAUAAUCCAUACCAAAACAUAAGCACAACCUUUCUACUUACACUUGGCUGAUAGAAACUCUCUGUUGUCCCUGCCACUCUCCAUUUCUCACUCUUUCUGAGAAAACAACAGGAAGUGUAAUAGGAAGUGAAGUUGCUUUGUAUUCUGUGCGUGUGUCUUGUGCUGCUGUCGUCUGCGUCUAUGAAUCAUGUCGUGAGGACUUCUUAGACACUGCCAAAGGCUACUCUCGUGGACAGAGACGGGGUAUGAAUGCGUUACUUCAAAUCUCAAGAAGGAAGGAGACACCACGAGCCACAAAGUCAUGCCUGUGUCAGUGUGAACUGUGACACAGUGUGAGUGUGCUUUUAAUCUUACAGUACAACUAUGUCAAGAACGGCCCUGAUUAAACUUCUCUUCGUUGGGAUCCUCACCUUCAUCAUCUGCCUACCAGAGUUCUUCACAAUAUACAGAGUAUCAAAAGUGAACUUCUUCUGCCUUCCCUAUCCACCUUGUGAACAAGGAAAUACAGUGAAGAAGGGUGAAAAUAGGAAGACUGAUGAUUCUGCAGUCACAAGAAAGGACAUGUGUGACUUUCCUCAGCAGAAUCAAAGCAACAUGACAAACUCGGCACCAGACGGAGAUAGUUCAACGAUGAGCUUGUUCAUGUGUGAAGCCAACACAAACAUGGCAGAAUUAGACAACAACACCUCAUUUACAGAUCUGACGUUCAGUCUUGAGGUGUCAGUCGAGGUUCAACUCACUGAUGCAGAGACCCUCAAUCUCACCUUGUAUGGUCGCAGCAAUCACAGCUCCUUACACCUCCACUCACCUGAGGAGGAGGAGGAGGAGGAGGAGGAGAAAGAGAAAGAGAAGGGUGAAGGACAGAGGAAAGCAUUCUACUGCUGUCUCCCUCGCAUGCCUGCCUCUGAACCAGCCAAUCAAAGCCGCUGUCUCCUUUGGCUCGCCAAUCUAACAGUUUUGACUGCAGCAGCGAAGGAAGAGCUGCCAUGGAAACGGACACAGAAAGAUGAGUGGCAGUGUGGGAUGAGGAUUCUCUGGCUGGCUCUGGUGUGCUCGGUGUUGCUGAUGAUAGUUACAAUUGUGAUCACUGAAAUCUGCAGAGGGAAAUACUUGUGCAGAAAACCCAAGGUGUGCCCGGUUAGCUACAACUUUACUGGUCACCAUUUGAAUGUUGGACAGAAGCCAACAGAAGUCAGUGCUCCCAACGGUAAACAGAACCCUGAUUUCAUAAUUAUAAUCUGCAAUGUUCAGGAAUUCUAACUAACAUUUACUGCCAAACAGGAACAACCCUCCUCUCAUAUCGGCUGCAGCCUUGGUCAGGUCGGUUUACAGAAGUACACAUGAUUAAUCACAAUGAUUUUAAUGUGGUCAGUGAGCACAUCUGUCUGUUUAUCAUUGCACAGGUCUCCCACCUAUUCAAGAAAUUGAAGGUCUGAGAAUGCACACACACCUACACACACAAUGACAGGUGUACACUGGUUUUAAGGUGUUUAACACUCUUCAUACAUUUCUUCAGAUGACAUAAAUACUCUGCUGGAUGGAAAUAUUGACCACUGCUAUACAGGUAAAGUCACUAAAGCAUCAAACAAGCUAAAAGAGUUAAUGUUUAUCUUGUAUUUAAUGAGCAGGUUGAAAGUCAAAAUUAUACAUUAGAUGACACCUCCAUAGUUCAGAUCGCCCCAUCUAAACCCUUUGUAAGUGUCUUUUAACACUAGUGUGUUAAUUACCUUCUUUUUUGUGAUAUCUUUAGAAAAUCUACAUCAUCGCUGCCCUUCCUCCACUAGAGAGGAGCAGGCCUGGUAACAGAGGAGCAGCAGAAGGAGCACAGAUAGACCACUGCAGAGAAAUAUCUGAGCCUUUUAACAACAGUUUACAUGUUUAUUUCCAAUGUUUAAUCUUCACACAGUCUAAGGGCACUUUAUUAGAAAUGAGUCUUUAUACAUUUGUAAACUGUCCACUGUUAAAUAAAUGGAUCAGCCUCCAAACA